UACGGGGGGGGCAAGCGUUGUUCGGAAUUACUGGGCGUAAAGGGCGUGUAGGCGGGAAGGAAAGUCAGAUGUGAAAUCCCUGGGCUCAACCCAGGAACUGCAUUUGAAACUCCCUUUCUUGAGUGUCGGAGAGGAAAGCGGAAUUCCUGGUGUAGAGGUGAAAUUCGUAGAUAUCAGGAGGAACACCGGUGGCGAAGGCGGCUUUCUGGACGAUAACUGACGCUGAGACGCGAAAGCGUGGGGAGCAAACAGG
rnacentral:rRNA from 1 species